GACGAACGCUGGCGGCGUGCUUAACACAUGCAAGUCGAACGGAAAGGCCCUGCUUUUGUGGGGUGCUCGAGUGGCGAACGGGUGAGUAACACGUGAGUAACCUGCCCUUGACUGUGGGAUAACUUCAGGAAACUGGGGCUAAUACCGGAUAGGAGCUCCUGCUGCAGGGUGGUGGUUGGAAAGUGUCGGCGGUUGGGGAUGGACUCGCGGCUUAUCAGCUUGUUGGUUGGGUAGUGGCUUACCAAGGCUUUGACGGGUAGCCGGCCUGAGAGGGUGACCGGCCACCUUGGGACUGCGGUAGGGAGCAGACUCGUACGGGGGGCAGCGGUGGGGAAUCUUGCACAAUGGGCGGAAGCCUGAUGCAGAAACGCCGCGUGCGGGAUGACGGCCUUCCGGUUGUAAACCGCAUUCGCCUGAGACGACGCGUGAGUGACGGUAAUGGGUAAAGAAGCACCGGCUAACUACGUG
rnacentral:rRNA from 1 species